UACAUAGGGGGCAAGCGUUAUCCGGAAUUACUGGGUGUAAAGGGUGCGUAGGCGGCAAUACAAGUCAGAUGUGAAAGGCAUGAGCUUAACUCAUGGAAUGCAUUUGAAACUGUAUAGCUAGAGUACAGGAGAGGAAAGUAGAAUUCCUAGUGUAGCAGUGAAAUGCGUAGAUAUUAGGAGGAAUACCAGUGGCGAAGGCGACUUUCUGGACUGAAACUGACGCUGAGGCACGAAAGCGUGGGGAGCAAACAGG
rnacentral:rRNA from 1 species